GAUGAACGCUGGCGGCGUGCUUAACACAUGCAAGUCGAACGGAAAGGCCCAAGCUUGCUUGGGUACUCGAGUGGCGAACGGGUGAGUAACACGUGGGUGAUCUGCCCUGCACUUCGGGAUAAGCCUGGGAAACUGGGUCUAAUACCGGAUAGGACGAUGGUUUGGAUGCCAUUGUGGAAAGUUUUUUCGGUGUGGGAUGAGCUCGCGGCCUAUCAGCUUGUUGGUGGGGUAAUGGCCUACCAAGGCGUCGACGGGUAGCCGGCCUGAGAGGGUGUACGGCCACAUUGGGACUGAGAUACGGCCCAGACUCCUACGGGAGGCAGCAGUGGGGAAUAUUGCACAAUGGGCGCAAGCCUGAUGCAGCGACGCCGCGUGGGGGAUGACGGCCUUCGGGUUGUAAACUCCUUUCGCUAGGGACGAAGCGUUUUUGUGACGGUACCUGGAGAAGAAGCACCGACUAACUACGUG
rnacentral:rRNA from 1 species